AGGAGUCAGACACAGUCAGGACACAGCAUGGACAUGAUGGCCCCCGCUCAUCUCCUAGGGCUCCUGCUGCUCUGGCUCCCAGGUGCCAGAUGUGACAUCCAGAUGACCCAGUCUCCAUCCUCCCUGUCUGCAUCUGUAGGAGACACUGUCACCAUCUCUUGCCAGGCAAGUCAGGGCAUUAGCAGUUAUUUAAAUUGGUAUCAGCAAAAACCGGGGAAAGCCCCUAAGCUCCUGAUCUAUUAUGCAACCACUUUGCAAAGUGGGGUCCCAUCAAGGUUCAGCGGCAGUGGAUCUGGGACAGAAUUCACUCUCACCAUCAGCAGCCUGCAGCCUGAAGAUUUUGCCGCUUAUUACUGUCAACAGUAUAAAAGUUUACCUCCCACAGUGUUACACACCCGAACAUAAACCCCCAGGGAAGCAGAUGUGUGAGGCUGGGCUGCCCCAGCUGCUCCUCCUGAUGCCUCCAUGGGCUGAGAGUGUUCCUCAGAUGCAGCCACACUCUGAUGGU